rnacentral:rRNA from 1 species
UACGGGGGGAGCAAGCGUUGUUCGGAUUUACUGGGCGUAAAGGGCGCGUAGGCGGUCAGCACAAGUCAGUUGUGAAAUCUCCGGGCUUAACCCGGAGCGGCCAAGUGAUACUGUCGUGCUAGAGUGCGGAAGGGGCUACUGGAAUUCUCGGUGUAGCGGUGAAAUGCGUAGAUAUCGAGAGGAACACCUGCGGCGAAGGCGGGUAGCUGGCCGACACUGACGCUGAGGCGCGAAAGCCAGGGGAGCAAACGGG